rnacentral:rRNA from 1 species
GACGAACGCUGGCGGCGUGCUUAACACAUGCAAGUCGAGCGGAAAGGCCCUUCGGGGUACUCGAGCGGCGAACGGGUGAGUAACACGUGAGUAACCUGCCCCAGACUUUGGGAUAACCCUCGGAAACGGGGGCUAAUACCGGAUACGACACAGCUUCGCAUGGGGUCUGUGUGGAAAGUUUUUCGGUUUGGGAUGGGCUCGCGGCCUAUCAGCUUGUUGGUGGGGUGAUGGCCUACCAAGGCGACGACGGGUAGCCGGCCUGAGAGGGCGACCGGCCACACUGGGACUGAGACACGGCCCAGACUCCUACGGGAGGCAGCAGUGGGGAAUAUUGCACAAUGGGCGGAAGCCUGAUGCAGCGACGCCGCGUGAGGGAUGACGGCCUUCGGGUUGUAAACCUCAUUCAGCAGGGACGAAGCGUAAGUGACGGUACCUGCAGAAGAAGCGCCGGCCAACUACGUG